rnacentral:lncRNA from 1 species
AUGGAGCAGGGACCAGCGUCUGGGCUCGGAGGAUCUGGCUUUUCCGGGUGGUGUCAUGUGAGUCCUGAGCUGCAUCCUCCGGGGAGUGGCUGCUCCCUGCCCUGGCCCUGGGCUUCUUGGCUGCCCAGCACUGGUUCCAGGAGAGGCUGGGUUGAGUGCAGAGCCCUCCGCCUGCCUGUGAGUCCCUGCUCUGCCCUCUGCUCCCAGUGUGCUACCUGCCAUAAAUGCCCGAAGCUGGGAGCAAAGUGCAGCGCCCGGGGCCCCGGGGCAGGGCCUGGCUCCUGUCUGCCUGCCAGCGCCCGAGGGACAGCAGCCUGGAGGAGCUGGGGAGCAUCCUGCUUCAGUCCUGCCUGCAAAGAGCUGGGUGGGCAGAGAGACAGACGUGUUCAAAGAAACAGCUCCUACAACACGGAAACCCUUAGGCACAGACACGCCCAGACACACACGCACACCCACACACUCCCAGCUGCAGAGCCUGGCAGGCAUGGCCGGUUCACGCCAGAGAGCGUGGCUUGCGCUUCACACCCAGGCAGUCCCGGCGCCCCUUCCCUGCCCCAGGGCCCCUGCGUGGCCCCCGCCUCUGCCCUUGGAGGCCCGGGGUUGCAGAGGCAGCUCUCAGUUUGCUGGCUGACUGUUGAGCUGGGUCCCGGGUACUGGGCCCCACCCUGCCCUACAAACCCAGGCCUGAUUCAGAGCAAACACCCAGUGCAGACAGCCCACGGGACGGGGCCCUGGGGUGGGCCCCAGGCCUGCUCAGGGGCCUCUGGGGAUGUCCAGACCUCUGGUUCACAGCAGGGCCAGACCUCGGCUACCUGCCGCGUCCCCUGUGGGCUGGAUGGGGCGGGCUGGGCUGUGGCCACAGCAGGGACUGGGCAGGAGGCACAGUCUCUGGAGAGACGCCCACCCAGUCCCCGCUCAUCUUUCAGGGACCCGGGCUGGCCUCGGGCAGAGCAGAGCUGGGGUCAGACCAGCGGCCGCAGCACUCACUCUGUGCCAGGCUCCUCUCUCCGCACCUGA